rnacentral:lncRNA from 1 species
UUCUCGGAGACAAAAACACACAUGAUACUUAAAUAAGAGCAACCAGAUCACAUAAUACAAGCUCUAUCCAUUCCAAUACAGAAGACCAUACUGCUUUACAUGCUCUACAAGUGUAACAAGCUCUACAAUUGUAAUACUAACAAGCUCUACAAGUUCUUAAAUUCAGACUCCUAACAAGCUCUACUAGAUGAACAACAUGCCGGACUCGCUCGACGACCAUAGUCAGGGCUGGGAACAAACAAAACAACAACAUGGCUUCCACUGUCAUCAUGUUACAUGAAUCAGAGAAGAAUUAGAAUAACUGGGGAAAAUAUAUGUCGUAGCUAACAAAGUAAGAAACAAUAGUUAACAAGUCUGAGUCAUAGAAGCUAGAAGUGUCCCUUUGGAGAGACGAGAACUUAGAAUUGAUGCAUGGAUCUUAUUCUAAACAGCAUAAACACCAUGGCAAUAACAAAUUAACAGUAACAAGAUCAGUGUUAGCAGAAUUAAGUACAAGGCAAUCACGGGUACCAAUCCAGUGCAAGUUAAUAGAGAAAAUAUGUCAAAGUUAAUCAGAUUCACUAAUGUGUUUUUCAUACUACCAAAUUGAAGGUAAAAGAUGUGUACUGCAGUGUUAGCAGAAUUAAGUACAAGGCAAUCAUGGGUACCAAUCCAGUGUAAGUUAAUAGAGAAAAUAUGGCAAAGUUAAUCAGAUUCACUAAUGUGUUUUUCAUACUACCAAAUUGAAGGUAAAAGAUGUGUACUGAUUCAACACUGCAAACUGAUUUCUGAAAGCUUUACCAAAACAUUGUUUAGUCGCUUGGUGCUAAAGCGAUAGAUGUUGAACACUAAAUGCCAGCGAUAGUAACAACCAGCAGGUACUGCACCUGCGACCGCCAUCACUAGCUUGGAAGCAAUAAGCACAACAUAGGUAGGAUAGGAAUCAUCCUGGUUGUGUGUUCACGAAUCACCUAAUAGGUGUCGUGCCACAUAAUUGAUUUCCUGAACUCAGUAUGCCACACUUGUCUAUCCCAAAUCAGGGCUCAUGAAUCCUCAUCAAAGUGUGAAAUUUUACCUGAAGUAGAGCAGUGGCCACGUCGAAAACCACGUACAUGUCAAUGGUCUGCGGGGCAUGAGAAGCACAUCAGGAACUCGACAGUCACAAGUGGCAGACGAAAAAAAAUACUGCUAGGGAAUCUGUACACGAAUGAGGCAUAGAGCAGCAAAAUAAGAUAUAUAUUCAUGAUCUUCACAGCAUGAAUCCAAAUCCUACGGCUGAUAGUGGCCCUUUUUAUACUACAAAAGACACCUGUACAUGACAAUUGACACCGUUCAAGAAUCACAACAGCACAAAUGCUUUUAAUUUUGCUCACGACCCACAGAUCCUAGAAUCAAACAGAAGUAAAACAGAAAUCUGACUAACAAUAAAUCCAAAAGCUUGC